GAUGAACGCUAGCUACAGGCUUAACACAUGCAAGUCGAGGGGAAACGGCAUUUAGUGCUUGCACUGAAUGGACGUCGACCGGCGCACGGGUGAGUAACGCGUAUCCAACCUACCCAUUACUGUGGGAUAACCUGCCGAAAGGCAGACUAAUACCGCAUAGUCUUCGAUGACGGCAUCAGAUUUGAAGUAAAGAUUUAUCGGUAAUGGAUGGGGAUGCGUCUGAUUAGCUUGUUGGCGGGGUAACGGCCCACCAAGGCGACGAUCAGUAGGGGUUCUGAGAGGAAGGUCCCCCACAUUGGAACUGAGACACGGUCCAAACUCCUACGGGAGGCAGCAGUGAGGAAUAUUGGUCAAUGGGCGCGAGCCUGAACCAGCCAAGUAGCGUGCAGGAUGACGGCCCUAUGGGUUGUAAACUGCUUUUGUAUGGGGAUAAAGUCAAUCACGUGUGAUUGU
rnacentral:rRNA from 1 species